UCUCUGCUGCCGGCCCGCGGCCAGUCCCUCCCUCCCUCUCAUUAUCUCUUUCUUUCUCUAUUCUUUCUUUCUCAGAGAGAGAGAGAGAGAGAGAGAGAGAGAGAGAGAGAGAGAGAGAGAGAGAGAGAGAGAGAGAGAGAGAGUUAGUGAAAUGAUAAUGUUAUGGCUGAAAGAAAGGCAUUAACCUGUGGUCCCGUGAAACUGCCGCCGAGAGAGGUUCCUAUUAAACUGACAAUGUGACAGUGAGACAGUCUUAUCCAUUAGCUCGAUGACUUGAUCGGAACCAUUGACGGUUUUCUCAACACCAAGUCAGACAUUCACCUCAGCAUGGCCUCCAGUAGUCACUCCUGUUCAGGUUGUGGGAAGGAAGUGCGACCACGGCAGCAUGCUCUACUGUGUGACAACUGUCACCAGUGGAGACACAGAGUGUGUGACACAAACAUGACUCAGGAGAUGUACAGUUGCAGUUAGUUGCUGAGCAAUCCUUGAAAUCCAGCACAAGAAAAGGAAACAAUAAGAAGCAGGUCCAUCUGUGGAAGUUGUGGGAUGCCUACGAAGAGAAAUCCAUCACCACAACUAAAUUUCUGAGAAGCUGUAAGCAGUUUAUUCCUGGUCCAACAUAAGAGCUGCACAUGUCCUCACUGCUGUAUUUUAACUUUUUCAAUGUUUUAAUGUUUUUAAUAUUUUAAUGUUUUUAUAGUUUUAAUGUUUUAAUGUUUUUAAUAUUUUAAUGUUUUUAAAAUAAAAAAUAUAUUUUAAU